UACGUAGGGGGCGAGCGUUGUCCGGAAUUACUGGGCGUAAAGGGCGCGUAGGCGGCCUGCUAAGUCGAACGUGAAAUCCCUCGGCUUAACCGGGGAACUGCGUCCGAUACUGGUUGGCUUGAGUUUGGGAGAGGGAUGCGGAAUUCCAGGUGUAGCGGUGAAAUGCGUAGAUAUCUGGAGGAACACCGGUGGCGAAGGCGGCAUCCUGGACCAAUACUGACGCUGAGGAGCGAAAGCCAGGGGAGCAAACGGG
rnacentral:rRNA from 1 species